AAGUCGUAACAAGGUAACCGUAGGUGAACCUGCGGUUGGAUCAUUAAUAAAUUUAUAAAGGUAUUUGUGUUUGAAAAAACCAUUUACUCUUUAACAAAUUUGUGAAUUUUAUUAAAGUCUUUUGGGUUAACUUUUAUUUGUUAACUCAAAAAUCUAUUUAAACAAACAUUUUUUUUUAUCAAGUCUAUAAAAAACCUUUAAAUUUAAUUUAAAAAACAACUUUUGACAACGGAUCUCUUGGCUCUC
rnacentral:misc_RNA from 1 species